AGGAAAAGAAAAAUGAUAAAAUAACAGGUAUCUUCAUGAAACUGUCAAAGGACAUUCAGCAAGGUUUGAUCUAUUCCAAAACCACUAGGCAGGAACCUAUUCCUAAGCCUUUUUGCAUCUCUUCCAGCUCCAGUUUUACAUUAAUAUAUAUAUAUAUAUAUAUAUCAAAACUGAAACUUCCACCAAGUCCUAGACUUUGAAAACUGGUAAAGCUGCCCUAUUCCAAAUCUCGUCGACAUUGGAUGUCACAUACUAGAAUUCUCUUUCAAAAUUAUUUUGGCUUCAAUACAGAAAAGAGAAACAAAAGGAACAUCACCCAGCACUACUGCUUCAUCCUAACUCAAAUUAGGUUGCAUAUUGUUUCUCUCACUAACUAAAUCUUAUCCUAGUUCAUCCAUCAAUUAUAUCAGGUGAUAAAGCGAAGUCACUAUUUUUCUCACUAUAUCCUAAAAGAAACUGAGGAUCACUCAGGCACUCAAACUCCACUGAAGUCAACGAUUGAUGCAACAUUAACAAACACAAACUCCACUGAAGUCAACGAUUGAUGCAACAUUAACAAACACAAACUCCACUGAAGUCAACGAUUGAUGCAACAUUAACAAACACAAACUCCACUGAAGUCAACGAUUGAUGCAACAUUAACAAACACAAACUCCACUGAAGUCAACGAUUGAUGCAACAUUAACAAACACAAACUCCACUGAAGUCAACGAUUGAUGCAACAUUAACAAACACAAACUCCACUGAAGUCAACGAUUGAUGCAACAUUAACAAACACAAACUCCACUGAAGUCAACGAUUGAUGCAACAUUAACAAACACAAACUCCACUGAAGUCAACGAUUGAUGCAACAUUAACAAACACAAACUCCACUGAAGUCAACGAUUGAUGCAACAUUAACAAACACAAACUCCACUGAAGUCAACGAUUGAUGCAACAUUAACAAACACAAACUCCACUGAAGUCAACGAUUGAUGCAACAUUAACAAACACAAACUCCACUGAAGUCAACGAUUGAUGCAACAUUAACAAACACAAACUCCACUGAAGUCAACGAUUGAUGCAACAUUAACAAACACAAACUCCACUGAAGUCAACGAUUGAUGCAACAUUAACAAACACAAACUCCACUGAAGUCAACGAUUGAUGCAACAUUAACAAACACAAACUCCACUGAAGUCAACGAUUGAUGCAACAUUAACAAACACAAACUCCACUGAAGUCAACGAUUGAUGCAACAUUAACAAACACAAACUCCACUGAAGUCAACGAUUGAUGCAACAUUAACAAACACAAACUCCACUGAAGUCAACGAUUGAUGCAACAUUAACAAACACAAACUCCACUGAAGUCAACGAUUGAUGCAACAUUAACAAGAGGCCAUCUGAACAAACAGAGGAAGAAAUUUGGAAUAUUUUGAAUUACAGUUUGGAAUACAUCAAAAUAUGCAAGUUUCAUGUUGAGCACAUACUACCACACCUCAAAGCAAGUGUACUACUCCCUCUGUCCCAAUUAAUGUGGUACCACUUUCAUUUUUAGUCCAUCCCAAAAAGAAUGUAAUAUUUCUAUAAUAAUAGAG
rnacentral:lncRNA from 1 species